CAAUGGACGAAAGUCUGACGGAGCAACGCCGCGUGAGUGAUGAAGGUUUUCGGAUCGUAAAACUCUGUUGUUAGGGAAGAACAAGUACGAGAGUAACUGCUCGUACCUUGACGGUACCUAACCAGAAAGCCACGGCUAACUACGUGCCAGCAGCCGCGUAAUAC
rnacentral:rRNA from 1 species